rnacentral:lncRNA from 1 species
AUAUUUUUGUUAAUAAUUAUCCCUACAAAAUAGCAUUACACUUUUUUUUCAGAACAAAAUUUUUUCCAGCUACAAAGACAACAAAAUACAAAAUAUAUAUUGUUAUUGUUUGGUUUAGAUUGCUUGAUGAGAAUGUUUGGUUCCACAUCCCUUGUUCUGCAUCUAUCUCAGUUGUAAAUACCCCUGUCAUUCAUUCAUUAAUCAAUUGGGACAAUAAUAAUAAUAAUAAUUGAAACCAUAUAAAAAAAAUCAUAAUAGUUGCGUAAGAUGAAUGAAAAAGAAAACAUAAAAGUAAAACAAACAUGGAGAAUAUGAUGGAAGUACAUGUAUCUUCAAAAACUUCUUUACUCGUGUUUUAUACACAACUACCAACUAACAUGAGAAAAAUUUGUUCCUUUGAGUUGUGAUAAAUAAAGAUGUGGGCAGCAGAGAUUAUAAAUCUGAGAAAAUAGAGAAN